CAGUCGCCGCGGUAAGACGGAGGGUGCUAGCGUUGUUCGGAAUCACUGGGCGUAAAGGGCGCGUAGGCGGCCUGUUAAGUCGGAUGUGAAAGCCCGGGGCUCAACCCCGGAACUGCAUCCGAGACUGGCAGGCUUGAGACCGGGAGAGGAGGGUGGAAUAUCCAGUGUAGAGGUGAAAUUCGUAGAUAUUGGAUGGAACACCGGUGGCGAAAGCGGCUCUCUGGCCCGGAUCUGACGCUGAGGCGCGAAAGCGUGGGGAGCAAACAGGAUUAGAUACCCGAGUAGUCCCUGUCUCUUAUAA
rnacentral:rRNA from 1 species